rnacentral:rRNA from 1 species
GGCCAGCAGCCGCGGUAAUACGUAGGGAGCGAGCGUUGUCCGGAAUUACUGGGCGUAAAGGGUGCGUAGGCGGCGAUGCAAGUCAGAUGUGAAAUCCCCGGGCUUAACUCGGGUUCUGCAUUUGAAACUGCAUUGCUUGAGUGCAGGAGAGGAAAGCGGAAUUCCUAGUGUAGCGGUGAAAUGCGUAGAUAUUAGGAAGAACACCAGUGGCGAAGGCGGCUUUCUGGACUGUAACUGACGCUGAGGCACGAAAGCGUGGGGAGCAAACAGGAUUAGAUACCCUGGUAGUCCACGCUGUAAACGAUGGAUACUAGGUGUGGGGGAGAUACAACCUCUGUGCCGGAGCAAACGCAAUAAGUAUCCCGCCUGGGGAGUACGGUCGCAAGACUGAAACUCAAAGGAAUUGACGGGGGCCCGCACA